GUAGUUUGAUCAUGGCUCAGAUUGAACGCUGGCGGAAUGCUUUACACAUGCAAGUCGAACGGUAGAGGGGCAACCCUUGAGAGUGGCGAACGGGUGAGUAAUAUAUCGGAACGUGCCCAGUCGUGGGGGAUAACGUAGCGAAAGUUACGCUAAUACCGCAUACGAUCUAAGGAUGAAAGCGGGGGAUCGCAAGACCUCGCGCGAUUGGAGCGGCCGAUAUCAGAUUAGGUAGUUGGUGAGGUAAAGGCUCACCAAGCCAACGAUCUGUAGCUGGUCUGAGAGGACGACCAGCCACACUGGAACUGAGACACGGUCCAGACUCCUACGGGAGGCAGCAGUGGGGAAUUUUGGACAAUGGACGCAAGUCUGAUCCAGCCAUUCCGCGUGCAGGAUAAAGGCCCUCGGGUUGUAAACUGCUUUUGUACGGAACGAAAAGGUUUCUAUUAAUACUAGGAGCUCAUGACGGUACCGUAAGAAUAAGCACCGGCUAACUACGUG
rnacentral:rRNA from 1 species